GGGGAUAUAGCUCAGUGGUAGAGCGCUUGCCUAGCAAGCGCAAGGCUCUGGGUUCGGUCCCCAGCUCCA
rnacentral:tRNA from 1 species